UUUGCGGAAUCUCUGAAGUUUUAAAGACGACAUUUGUAGCUGCUAAUUCACAGAGUGAUAAUUUUUCUGUUUGUUUCUUGUUUCCUAAAAUUUUCUCUUAGGACGUACCAUCAGAGUUUCUGCCUGUGACAGUGGAUGAACAUCUAGGAAACACAGGUGUGCCAGCUGAACUACGGGACUGAUUUCUGGAGUUGCUAGGGGAUGCAGCAAUUGCCUUACCACACAUUAAAGCAUCAAAUUAUCGCGGGGGUGAAGCUACAGAGGAAGAAAAGAACCUUAGCAGACUCUAAUGAAGUACUGGGUUAACUUGUUCAAAACGGAAAUCCUAAUGGAGGGUUUGUUUGAUUGGCCAUCGUAGAACCUAAAUGAAGAAUACUUACACAUGAAUCUAAACCUAAGGAAAACCGGAAGGUUGAAAGAA